GACGAACGCUGGCGGCGUGCUUAACACAUGCAAGUCGAACGGAAAGGCCCAGCUUGCUGGGUGCUCGAGUGGCGAACGGGUGAGUAACACGUGGGUGAUCUGCCUCUAACUUCGGGAUAAGCUUGGGAAACUGGGUCUAAUACCGGAUAGGACAAUCGUUUAGUGUCGGUUGUGGAAAGUUUUUUCGGUUAGGGAUGAGCCCGCGGCCUAUCAGCUUGUUGGUGGGGUAAUGGCCUACCAAGGCGUCGACGGGUAGCCGGCCUGAGAGGGUGGACGGCCACAUUGGGACUGAGAUACGGCCCAGACUCCUACGGGAGGCAGCAGUGGGGAAUAUUACACAAUGGGCGCGAGCCUGAUGCAGCGACGCCGCGUGGGGGAUGACGGCCUUCGGGUUGUAAACCUCUUUCGACAGGGACGAAGCUUUGGUGACGGUACCUGUAUAAGAAGCACCGGCUAACUACGUG
rnacentral:rRNA from 1 species